rnacentral:lncRNA from 1 species
CCGCAGCAAACAAGAGGACCUUGCCUCAGGCUAGAGAGAUGGCUUAGCAAUUAAGAGCAUUUAUCAGGAGAGCCUGGGUCAAUUCCCAAGCACACAGAUCCCAGAGGAUCUCACAACCUCUUUUGGUCAGACAAAAAAGCUAUACACAUACAACAAAUCAAGGAAGACCAAGACAGAGACACAGUCGGAGUUAGACGCAGAGUCAGAAUCAGAGACCGAGACAGAGACCUUGUCUCAAACAAGGUGAAAGGAGGCAAGGACCAACACCCAAGAUUGACCACACACUUCACACGUACACUCAUUCACGUCACUCAUGCACGUGCACGCACGCACACACACACACACACACACACACACACACACACACACACACACACGCAGAAUAAUAUAUCAUAAAGGAUAUGAAUUAAGGUCCAGUGAGGACUUUGUGAUCUCUAGGAAGAAGAAUUCGAUAAGAGACAUUCUAACUAGGAAAAGGGGGAAAUAGAAUGACUUUUUAAAAAUUGCUCAGUCUAAAAAACAGAAAAAGAGCUGCCAGCUUUGGUGUUGUACUGCUGUAAUCCCAGUACCUGUGAGGCACAAGGAAGAGAAACACCAAGUUCAAGGCCAGCUUUGUAUGGAAAUGGAGAAGGAAAGGAGUUGCCUGAGCUCUCAGGCAGUGCAAGGACAGCUGCCAGGAAGCCAAAUGCCUGUGUAGAGAUGAGUCAGAGGUCUGCCCUGCCUCUCCAGUCUCCCUCCAGGGAGAGACAGGAAAGUGGUUUGAAGGGGAUCACCACCUGCACAUACUUUUGUGGUUCAGUGUUGUGGCACUGGCAAAGGCCACUGCCCCUUCUCCAAGAAAAGGAGGUUUCCUUAAGGACUCCAUAGCCGAAGUCUUAACCAGGUGGAGGGAACAGAAGGUGCAGGUGGAUGCUUGCAGGAUGGUUCAAGGGGUUCAGUGAGGUUCAUAUCUGUGUUGGUUCAGGUCCUAGAUCUACUCUGUGGGCCCUUGCAUUGUCUAGUCAUCCCCCCAGGACUUGUAUCAAAGCCUCUUCUCUAUUAGGUUGACCUGUAUUGGGAAUGAAGCUGUGUCUGGGGGGAGGGGGGUCUGGUUGAUAAGGUGCACACCCAGAAACACGACCCAGAGUGGGAGCAACUGGCCCUUGUCUAAGUCUCUAACUACCCUACUGGGGCUUGUAGCUCAGUGGUAGAGCACUUGCCUCUAACAUUAGUAAGAUGCUGGGGUUCCAUCUCUAGCUGUUUAAACAAUAUAUGAAAAUCCUUUUACCAAUAAAAAAAUCUAAAAAGAGGGAAACAAUCUCAAAGAGCAAAAAGGUUCUCCACACUUCCAGACCAGGAAACAUAGAACCAUGUUCCUCCCUGGGCCUUGACUCCAGGAUGCUUCUCUUUGCUCAGAUUCCAAACAGAAGCCAUCUAUGACCACAUCAUAAAAGCAGAAAAGUCAGGGAACCCUCUCGGGGCUUCAGUUUCUCUCUCAGUCCCUCAGAAGUAAGGCAGGACCUCAAGCUCCUGUUGCCCACCCCAAACCCUGCCUCACACACUGGGAUCCAAAAGGCAAAUUUGCUCCCCCACAGCUAUGGCUCUUGGGGUGGCUGAGGGCACCUGAGAGCUAUGGGAGGUUAGCAGAGCUGACCAGAUACCCACAAUGAUUAGUGGAGUGUCAGGGAGCCAGACUGGAGCCAUAGUUUCAACUCGGAGCAGCGAAGCAGUGAUGGAUUCACAUGACCGUAAGUAGCAAAGCUGAGACUCAAACUCAGGCUUCUCCAGUCUCUCACUUAAAAAUGGGUCUACUUGGGGGCUGGAGAGAUGGCUCGGCGGUUAAGAGCACUGUCUGCUCUUCCAGAGGUCCUGAGUUCAAUUCCCAGCAGCCACAUGGUGGCUCACAACCAUCUGUAAUGGAAUCUGAUGCCCUCUUCUGGUGUGUCAGAAGACAGUACAGCAUACUUAUACCUAAUGAAUAAAUAAAUUAAAAAAAAUGGGUCUAUUUCUCCAGCUCAGUAACAUAAAUGCCUGAAGUGUUCACUACACAGUAACCACCACACUAGGAGUUCCUCUCUCAUGGUGUAGGACCAAGGACUGGACUCUUCCAUCACCCCUGUGCACAAUCUUGCAAAUAAGGCCCUCGACUUGAGUCGGUUCACAGAGAUGGACAGCUGUACCAGCUGGUCCAGAGGUAAGACAAGGCUGUGUGAAACCCCUAGGUGGGCCUUGAACCUCACAGUUUAGUCAACUGUUUAGUCAGCCUGAAGGAUCCAGCUCUGACCCAAAGAAUCCUUAAUCUUC